AAUAGGCUAAUUAAGAGCGUAAGGGGAAUGCCUUGGCUCUCAGAGGCGAUGAAGGACGUGAUAAGCUGCGAUAAGCUGUGGGGAGUGGCACAAACACUUUGAUCCGCAGAUUUCCGAAUGGGGUAACCCGGCAUAUUGAAGAUAUGUCACACUGUAAAGUGAGCGAACCUGGUGAACUGAAACAUCUAGGUAACCAGAGGAAUAGAAAACAAAAGUGAUUCCGCUAGUAGUGGCGAGCGAACGUGGAAUAGCCUAAACCUAUGUUGUUAAGGCAAUAUAGGGGUUGUAGGACCUCAACAUUUAAUGCUAAUAGAACUAGGAUUUACUGGAAAGUAAAACCAUA
rnacentral:rRNA from 1 species